GACGAACGCUGGCGGCGUGCCUAAUACAUGCAAGUCGAACGCAGUGGGGACGGGUGAGUAACACGUGGGUAACCUCCCAUCAGAGGGGGAAACCCUUGGAAACAGGUCCUAUACCCAUACUGGUGGUUGGACCCGCGGUGCAUUAGCGAGUUGGUGAGGUAACGGCUCACCAAGGCCACGAUGCAUAGCCGACCGGAGAGGGUGAUCGGCCACACUGGGACUGAGACACGGCCCAGACUCCUACGGGAGGCAGCAGUAGGGAAUCUUCGGCAAUGGACGAAAGCCUGACGGAGCAACGCCGCGUGAGUGAUGAAGGUCUUCGGAUCGUAAAACUCUGUUAUUAGGGAAGCGGUACCUAAUCAGAAAGCCACGGCUAACUACGUGCCAGCAGCCGCGGUAAUUC
rnacentral:rRNA from 1 species